rnacentral:rRNA from 1 species
UGCCAGCCGCCGCGGUAAUACGGAGGAUCCAAGCGUUAUCCGGAAUUAUUGGGUUUAAAGGGUCCGCAGGCUGUUUGUUAAGUCAGGGGUGAAAUCCUACCGCUCAACGGUAGAACUGCCUUUGAUACUGGCAAACUUGAGUUAUUGUGAAGUAGUUAGAAUGUGUAGUGUAGCGGUGAAAUGCAUAGAUAUUACACAGAAUACCGAUUGCGAAGGCAGAUUACUAACAAUAUACUGACGCCGAGGCACGAAAGCAUAGGUAGCAAACAGGAUUAGAUA